AUUGAACGCUGGCAGCAGGCUUAACACAUGCAAGUCGAGCGGGGGAGGUUACUUCGGUAACUGACCUAGCGGCGGACGGGUGAGUAAUGCUUAGGGAUCUGCCUAUUAGUGGGGGACAACAUUCCGAAAGGAAUGCUAAUACCGCAUACGUCCUACGGGGGAAAGCAGGGGAUCUUCGGACCUUGCGCUAAUAGAUGAGCCUAAGUCGGAUUAGCUAGUUGGUGGGGUAAAGGCCUACCAAGGCGACGAUCUGUAGCGGGUCUGAGAGGAUGAUCCGCCACACUGGGACUGAGACACGGCCCAGACUCCUACGGGAGGCAGCAGUGGGGAAUAUUGGACAAUGGGGGGAACCCUGAUCCAGCCAUGCCGCGUGUGUGAAGAAGGCCUUUUGGUUGUAAAGCACUUUAAGCGAGGAGGAGGCUCCUUUAGUUAAUACCUAAAGAGAGUGGACGUUACUCGCAGAAUAAGCACCGGCUAACUCUGUGCCAGCCGCCGCUGUAA
rnacentral:rRNA from 1 species